GUGGAUUAGAUACCCUGGUAGUCCACGCCCUAAACGAUGCGAACUAGGUGUUGGGGAAGGAGACUUCUUUAGUACCGUAGCUAACGCGUGAAGUUCGCCGCCUGGGGAGUACGGUCGCAAGAUUAAAACUCAAAGGAAUUGACGGGGACCCGCACAAGCGGUGGAUGAUGUGGAUUAAUUCGAUGCAACGCGAAAAACCUUACCUACCCUUGACAUGUCCGGAACCCUGCUGAGAGGUGGGGGUGCCCGAAAGGGAAUCGGAACACAGGUGCUGCACGGCCGUCGCCAACU
rnacentral:rRNA from 1 species